AAGACUAUACUUUCAGGGAUCAUUUCUAUAGUUUCUGACUUGAGAAAUGCGUUUCUAAAGUGAUUGGUCUCACCAUCCAUGAUGACGAGUUUUGAUAUUCCCUUCUGAGCGUGAAGCAGAUAGAGAGUAAUGAUUCAGUUCAUAUGCUCUUUGUCAUUGGUGACUGUUCUUUGCUUCUUCUAGGAGUAUUGAGGGAGGGAAUAUGAUCAGAGUGGU